rnacentral:rRNA from 1 species
UACGAAGGGUGCAAACGUUGCUCGGAAUUAUUGGGCGUAAAGCGCACGUAGGCGGCUUUGCAAGUCCCAUGUGAAAUCCCACGGCUCAACCGUGGAAGUGCAUGGGAAACUGCAGAGCUUGAGUACUUAAGAGGAUCGCGGAAUUCCCGGUGUAGAGGUGAAAUUCGUAGAUAUCGGGAGGAACACCAGUGGCGAAGGCGGCGAUCUGGGAAGAUACUGACGCUGAUGCACGAAAGCGUGGGGAGCAAACAGG